rnacentral:lncRNA from 1 species
CAGCUGGGCUUGCUUAGCCAGGCUGAACUCCAGACUUUGGCUUGGGUUGGAAAUUCUCUGUGUCCAUUCCUGUACCCAGGCUGAAGGAGAAAUGACCACUUGGGACAUGCUCAUCUCACGGCACAGGGUGGACACUCCAGGAGGACAGAAAAAAACAUUCAAGCAAAGAAGCUAUUAAGCCAGGGAAGCCCCUGAGCCUGACUGCUGUAGAUCUGGAACCCUUGCAUCUGGGCUGUCACUUGGCAAAUGGUGGAUCCUGGACAACUGGACUGCUUCAAGGACCCUAGCAGAAGAGGAACUCAUGACAUGCCCUGCUGAACAACUGGGAUUUUUCUUUUGAUUAUAGCAAUAGCCUGCUUCCAUUCUUGGACCCGUUAAUCCAUUCUCCACUCUUCAAACAGUGAUCCUUUAAAAACAUCAAUUACAUUAUGUCCCUCUCCCACUGAAGCCCCCGCUCCCCUGGCUGCCACCCCAUGGCCUCCCAUUGUACUUAGAAUAAACUGCAAACUCUGCUCAGAGCUACAGACCCAUGUGUUGGGACUCCUGCCUACCUCUUCAGGCUCAAUUCCUGCCAUUCCCCAACGUAUUCACCAUGCUCCAGACAUACUGGCUUGCUCUCCAUUCUGGAACACACUGAGUACAUCCUUUCCUUUGCAAUUUGUAUCUUCUCACCUGGAUUGAGUGAGCAUGACAUCUUCCUGUGUACCCUCAACGUUUCUUGUAGUUCUAGUUAUCAGAACUAACUUGAAGAGCAGUGGGCUAAGCAGUGACUAGUCAGUAUGGAAUUAGAAACAAGUACAGAAUUGUGACUUAAAAAGGAAGGAGAAUUAUAGAACAGACGAUGAGAGAGAAGUAUGGAGUCAAAAACUCAAUUUUUGCCGUGGAGGAAAGACUUGAGCAUUUUUACGUCUUUGGUGGAGGAGCCAGAAAGGGAAAUACGUAAUGUGAAAGAAAGUGGAGUAACUAAAGAAGUAAAUGCCUUGAGCAUCUUUUAAAUGGAAAAUUCCUUUAAAGAGAUAAAAUAUGUGGUUCUUAAGGAUUCUGGUCCCCACUUGUCUUCCUUUUUGUCCUUUCACUUUAUGAGCUUCUGUACCGUAUUG